rnacentral:rRNA from 1 species
GAUGAACGCUGGCGGCGUGCCUAAUACAUGCAAGUCGAGCGAACGGACGAGAAGCUUGCUUCUCUGAUGUUAGCGGCGGACGGGUGAGUAACACGUGGAUAACCUACCUAUAAGACUGGGAUAACUUCGGGAAACCGGAGCUAAUACCGGAUAAUAUUUUGAACCGCAUGGUUCAAAAGUGAAAGACGGUCUUGCUGUCACUUAUAGAUGGAUCCGCGCUGCAUUAGCUAGUUGGUAAGGUAACGGCUUACCAAGGCAACGAUGCAUAGCCGACCUGAGAGGGUGAUCGGCCACACUGGAACUGAGACACGGUCCAGACUCCUACGGGAGGCAGCAGUAGGGAAUCUUCCGCAAUGGGCGAAAGCCUGACGGAGCAACGCCGCGUGAGUGAUGAAGGUCUUCGGAUCGUAAAACUCUGUUAUUAGGGAAGAACAUAUGUGUAAGUAACUGUGCACAUCUUGACGGUACCUAAUCAGAAAGCCACGGCUAACUACGUGCCAGCAGCCGCGGUAAUACGUAGGUGGCAAGCGUUAUCCGGAAUUAUUGGGCGUAAAGCGCGCGUAGGCGGUUUUUUAAGUCUGAUGUGAAAGCCCACGGCUCAACCGUGGAGGGUCAUUGGAAACUGGAAAACUUGAGUGCAGAAGAGGAAAGUGGAAUUCCAUGUGUAGCGGUGAAAUGCGCAGAGAUGUGGAGGAACACCAGUGGCGAAGGCGACUUUCUGGUCUGUAACUGACGCUGAUGUGCGAAAGCGUGGGGAUCAAACAGGAUUAGAUACCCUGGUAGUCCACGCCGUAAACGAUGAGUGCUAAGUGUUAGGGGGUUUCCGCCCCUUAGUGCUGCAGCUAACGCAUUAAGCACUCCGCCUGGGGAGUACGACCGCAAGGUUGAAACUCAAAGGAAUUGACGGGGACCCGCACAAGCGGUGGAGCAUGUGGUUUAAUUCGAAGCAACGCGAAGAACCUUACCAAAUCUUGACAUCCUUUGACAACUCUAGAGAUAGAGCUUUCCCCUUCGGGGGACAAAGUGACAGGUGGUGCAUGGUUGUCGUCAGCUCGUGUCGUGAGAUGUUGGGUUAAGUCCCGCAACGAGCGCAACCCUUAAGCUUAGUUGCCAUCAUUAAGUUGGGCACUCUAAGUUGACUGCCGGUGACAAACCGGAGGAAGGUGGGGAUGACGUCAAAUCAUCAUGCCCCUUAUGAUUUGGGCUACACACGUGCUACAAUGGACAAUACAAAGGGCAGCGAAACCGCGAGGUCAAGCAAAUCCCAUAAAGUUGUUCUCAGUUCGGAUUGUAGUCUGCAACUCGACUACAUGAAGCUGGAAUCGCUAGUAAUCGUAGAUCAGCAUGCUACGGUGAAUACGUUCCCGGGUCU